UGAUAGCUCAGUCGGUAGAUCAUGACACUCUUAAUCUCAGGGUCGUGGGUUCAAGCCCCAUGUUUGGGCAAAA